AAGUUCUCUAAAUCUGUGCUUAUGAAGCAAUUAAGCUGGAAAAAAGCUACAGCUUGAAAUGAGUGUGAUGGACGAUGCUGCUCGUGCGUAACAAGUGAAUAUCCCAGCGGUACGGAAGCGGCAUCUUUGUUCCACAGCCGCCACGCAGGGCGUGCGUGUAUUUCCCCCCAGAAAUUGGCAAUGGCAGUAAAACAGGACUCGUGCUAAUUCGGUAUUACACAAACUUCAUCCCGAUACAGCACAACCCACGACCCAUAGCUUACGAUAAUAAGGAGGUCCUUAGUGAGAACUGCAGCCCAGGAAAUAGGGAGAAGAAAAGUGUUACCCAAAGAAUAUUAUUAUGUUUUUAAUUAUUAUUUCCCACUACUCAAAUCAGUAAUUGUUUUUUUUUAAUUGUCAGCAAAUAUAAUGUUCACAAGCCGAGCCUGUUUUUCUCAGGACAGAAUCAUAAAGCGAUCUGUCUCCCCGUUCUUUCGGUGUCAGAGAUUUCCACCUUUAGUUCUCGAUGAAGAGGGGCACCGAGAGAACGGCCAGACGGGAGCGCGUCCUUUAGCCGCGGCCAACUCACCGCAGCAUCAGCAACCAUUCACGGACACUCGGCCACUUCACUGGAAAGAAACUGAGCAACCAAAUGUAGAGCAUGCAGUGCCAAAGAGCCAAUCGCUUCAGGGAUCAUCCCUCUUCCUCUUCACAUUCCCCAAGAUGAAAACCUUCAGCGGCAAACGAGCGAGGCCAACGCACAGAAAGAGACCGCACACCCACAUCUUUGUGAGCUCAUUCCUGCAGGACCAAGACCACCACCACCAAGGAGUCAUCACCACCCAGGAGCCACUCCAAGUCCCACAGAAGACCCCUUCACCAUGGAUGGGCCACCCCAUCACAGCCCCACUCAAGAGGAGCCCCAAGGGGGACAGGGGGACUUAGCCUCCCACCACACUCAGGGGGGCGGAGGGAGUCUCAAAGGGGGCAGGGGAGGGCCGAGGGAGGGGCUAAGGGGACAGGGGAGGGCAAGGGAGGGCUAAGGGGAGGGGCCCCAGGGGGGCAGGGGAGGGCUGAGGGAGGGGCCCCAAGGGGGCAAGGGGAGGGGCCCCGGGGGGAGGGCCGAGGGGCAGGGGAGGGGCCCCCAAGCGGGGCCCCCAAAAAAAAUGCCACUGACAUGCCCACCCUCCCGCCAAAAAAAAAAAUAUAUCUCUUUAGAGAUAGUGCAAAAUCCGGCCUCCAGCACCAUUACAAGGGGGAGAACACAACUCAGGCUGAGUCUAGACUCAGCCUGAGUUGUGUUCUCCCCCAGAAAAAAAAAACAAGAAAAACUUAGAAAAUAAAAAUAAAUUUUAAAAACUUAAACA
rnacentral:lncRNA from 1 species